UAGGGAAUCUUCCACAAUGGACGCAAGUCUGAUGGAGCAACGCCGCGUGAGUGAAGAAGGUUUUCGGAUCGUAAAACUCUGUUGGUAGAGAAGAACGUUGGUGAGAGUGGAAAGCUCAUCAAGUGACGGUAACUACCCAGAAAGGGACGGCUAACUACGUGCCAG
rnacentral:rRNA from 1 species